rnacentral:rRNA from 1 species
GACGAACGCUGGCGGCGUGCUUAACACAUGCAAGUCGAACGGUGAAGCGCCUUCCUUUUUGGUGGGUGUGGAUGAGUGGCGAACGGGUGAGUAACACGUGAGUAACCUGCCCCCUUCUUCUGGAUAACCGCAUGAAAGUGUGGCUAAUACGGGAUAUUCUGGGUCUGUCGCAUGAUGGGUCUGGGAAAGAUAUUGUUUCGGUGGGGGAUGGGCUCGCGGCCUAUCAGCUUGUUGGUGGGGUGAUGGCCUACCAAGGCGGUGACGGGUAGCCGGCCUGAGAGGGUGGACGGUCACACUGGGACUGAGACACGGCCCAGACUCCUACGGGAGGCAGCAGUGGGGAAUAUUGCACAAUGGGCGCAAGCCUGAUGCAGCGACGCCGCGUGAGGGAUGGAGGCCUUCGGGUGGUGAACCUCUUUCGCCAGUGAAGCAGGCCUGCCUCGUUUGUGGGUGGGUGGACGGUAGCUGGAUAAGAAGCGCCGGCUAACUACGU